rnacentral:miRNA from 14 species
GUUUAUCUCAUGCCAUUUUCUAGUCUGAAUUUUGCUGAUUAUCUCUGUAUUGGGUAGAUCAAUAUGUCCUGCUGCCUUCGGUAUUUUAUUUUAAAUUGGUAAAUAGAUCUAGAGUUGCGAUUUUCAACUAAAGGUGAUUUUUGUGCCAUGCCGUCUCU